GCCAGGAUGGCCGAGUGGUUAAGGCGCCAGACUUAAGAUCUGGUCUUCAUAAGAAGACGUGGGUUCGAUCCCCACUCCUGGCA